GGCAGUGGUGGCGCACGCCUUUAGUCCUAGCAUUUGGGAGGCAGAGGCAGGUGGAUUUCUGAGUUCAAGGCCAGCCUGGUCUAAAAAGUGAAUUCCAGGACAGCCAGGAAAACACAAAGAAACCCUGUCUCAAACAAACAAAAGUUCCAGAAUAGCUGAGCAUCCUGACACAGCCCCAGGGACACUGAGAAACUAGGGAAAUGUGGGUUUGAAGACCACAGGAAAAUCCCAAACUACCUGUCACCUGUAGGAGACAACUAGUUGUCACAGUUGUGACUAGUUGUCACAGGAAAAAGACAGACACCGAAGAGGGCCUAUGUCCUUUUGAGCCUCACGAGGAGGAGGGAUUUCUGCGUGAAACAAGGAAACUCGGGAGCUGUGGGAGACAGAAGCGUUCCCUAGGAAGACUGUGUGGAGGGUGUGGAAGAGGAAGGAGACCAACGGAACCUCCCGGUCCGCAGCAGCUGC
rnacentral:lncRNA from 1 species